rnacentral:tRNA from 2 species
CUGCCCGUAGCUCAGUUGGAUAGAGCAUCGGCCUUCUAAGCCGAGGGUCGGGGGUUCGAACCCCUCCGGGCAGG